AUUGAACGCUGGCGGCAGGCCUAACACAUGCAAGUCGAGCGAGCGGCGGACGGGUGAGUAAUGUCUGGGAAACUGCCUGAUGGAGGGGGAUAACUACUGGAAACGGUAGCUAAUACCGCACACCAUCAGAUGUGCCCAGAUGGGAUUAGCUAGUAGGUGGGGUAACGGCGCACCUAGGCGACGAUCCCUAGCUGGUCUGAGAGGAUGACCAGCCACACUGGGACUGAGACACGGUCCAGACUCCUACGGGAGGCAGCAGUGGGGAAUAUUGCGAAAUGGGCGCAAGCCUGAUGCAGCCAUGCCGCGUGUGUGAAGAAGGCCUUCGGGUUGUAAAGCACUUUCAGCGGGGAGGCGUUACCCGCAGAAGAAGCACCGGCUAACUCCGUGCCAGCAGCCGCGGUAAUUC
rnacentral:rRNA from 1 species